CUGCCUGCGUUUGGAGGUCAUUUGUUCCGUUGCUUCUGGAGAAGAGGAGAUAAUUUUAAACACUUGUAAUCAGCUUAUUAACAAAGUGGAUCAGAAGGGCUGUAAUCACCUUGAUUUCUCAGCCUGUGAAGACAUCAGUCAGGAUCCAUCUGAGCUGAGACCCAUGCCCUGAGCUUCACCUGGUUCCUGCUCAAAUACCCUCAAUCCUCAGCCCCCUGGUAUCACUGUGCUGAGUCACACCAUCUUCCUCCAAAUGAAAAUUGGCAAAGACACGAUGUCAGCUUCCCUGUCCCACAGCCUCCUCCUCCUACUCUUCCACAGGCACUCAUUUUAUCUGAUUUUCCAUCUUCUGACUCCUUCACUUGCCUUAGUGACUCAAGCCCAUUGCCUUUACACUCACUUUCAUCCUCUUCUGAGCGUUUU
rnacentral:lncRNA from 1 species